CUCUACCAGAAAUGUUUAAGACUCUGGAGAGAGCUGACACAGGGAAGAUUGAGCUGGAUAUGCAACAGUGGCUGUGCCUGGCCAUCUUCUGACUCUGGAGACAAGACAAGAGAGAUGAUACCUGCUGGAGGAUUAACAAUACAUGCAUUGAAUUC